UACGGAGGAUGCAAGCGUUAUCCGGAAUGAUUGGGCGUAAAGCGUCCGCAGGUGGCUAUGUAAGUCUGCUGUUAAAGAGUGAGGCUCAACCUCAUAAGAGCAGUGGAAACUACAUGGCUAGAGUGCGUUCGGGGCAGAGGGAAUUCCUGGUGUAGCGGUGAAAUGCGUAGAUAGUCAGGAGAACACCGGUGGCGAAAGCGCUCUGCUAGGCCGCAAC
rnacentral:rRNA from 1 species